CAGACGGGUGAGUAACGCGUGGGAACGUACCUUUUGGUUCGGAACAACCCAGGGAAACUUGGGCUAAUACCGGAUAAGCCCUUACGGGGAAAGAUUUAUCGCCGAAAGAUCGGCCCGCGUCUGAUUAGCUAGUUGGUGAGGUAAUGGCUCACCAAGGCGACGAUCAGUAGCUGGUCUGAGAGGAUGAUCAGCCACAUUGGGACUGAGACACGGCCCAAACUCCUACGGGAGGCAGCAGUGGG
rnacentral:rRNA from 1 species